rnacentral:rRNA from 1 species
UACGGAGGGUGCAAGCGUUAUCCGGAUUUACUGGGUUUAAAGGGUGUGUAGGCGGGCCAUUAAGUCAGGGGUGAAAUCCCGGAGCUCAACUCCGGAACUGCCUUUGAUACUAUUGGUCUUGAAUGUUGUUGAGGUGGGCGGAACGGGUCAUGUAGCGGUGAAAUGCAUAGAUAUGACCCGGAACACCGAUUGCGAAGCAGCCGCUAAGCAACUAUUGACGCUGAGGCACGAAAGCGUGGGGAGC